rnacentral:rRNA from 1 species
CAGCAGCCGCGGUAAGACAGAGGAUGCAAGCGUUAUCCGGAAUUAUUGGGCGUAAAGGGCUCGCAGGCGGUUUCUUAAGUCUGAUGUGAAAGCCCCCGGCUCAACCGGGGAGGGUCAUUGGAAACUGGGAAACUUGAGUGCAGAAGAGGAGAGUGGAAUUCCACGUGUAGCGGUGAAAUGCGUAGAGAUGUGGAGGAACACCAGUGGCGAAGGCGACUCUCUGGUCUGUAACUGACGCUGAGGAGCGAAAGCGUGGGGAGCGAACAGGAUUAGAUACCCCCGUAGUCCCUGUCUCUUAUAC